rnacentral:rRNA from 2 species
UUAGGUUAAGUUAUUAAGGGCGUAUGGUGGAUGCCUUGGCACUAGGAGCCGAUGAAGGACGUGACUAACUGCGAUAUGCUUCGGGGAGUUGUAAGUAAACUAUGAUCCGGAGAUUUCCGAAUGGGGAAACCUAACAGGUUUUACCGCCUGUUAUCACUAAGUGAAUUCAUAGCUUAGUUGAAGGUAGACGUGGGGAACUGAAACAUCUAAGUACCCACAGGAAGAGAAAGAAAUUCGAUUCCCUCAGUAGCGGCGAGCGAACCGGGAAGAGCCCAAACUAAGAAGCUUGCUUCUUAGGGUUGUAGGACUGAACAUUUGAGUUACCAAGAAAUGAAGUAGUUGAAUAAUCUGGGAAGAUUAGCCAAAGAGAGUGAUAGCCUCGUAAGCGAAACUUCGUUUCCUCAGUUCAGGAUCCUGAGUACGGCGGAACACGUGAAACUCCGUCGGAAUCCGGGAGGACCAUCUCCCAAGGCUAAAUACUACCUAGUGACCGAUAGUGAACCAGUACCGUGAGGGAAAGGUGAAAAGCACCCCGGGAGGGGAGUGAAAUAGUUCCUGAAACCAUAUGCCUACAAGUAGUCAGAGCUCGUUAAUGAGUGAUGGCGUGCCUUUUGUAGAAUGAACCGGCGAGUUACGUUAGCGUGCGAGGUUAAGGAGGAAAGUCCGGAGCCGUAGCGAAAGCGAGUCUGAAUAGGGCGAGAUAGUACGUUGACGUAGACCCGAAACCAGGUGACCUACCCAUGUCCAGGUUGAAGGUGCGGUAAAACGCACUGGAGGACCGAACCCGUGUAUGUUGAAAAAUGCUGGGAUGAGGUGUGGGUAGAGGUGAAAUUCCAAACGAACUUGGAGAUAGCUGGUUCUCUCCGAAAUAGCUUUAGGGCUAGCCUCGGAGUUAAGAAUCGUGGAGGUAGAGCACUGUUUGGACUAGGGGCCCGUCUUGGGUUACUGAAUUCAGAUAAACUCCGAAUGCCA